rnacentral:piRNA from 1 species
UGAAAUUUCGUUUCUGUGAGGGGAC